rnacentral:lncRNA from 10 species
GCCGGGCGUGGUGGCCUGUGCUUGUAAUCCCAGCUACUUGGGAGUCUGAGGCAGGAGAAUUGCUUGAAUCUGGGAGGUGGAAGUCGCGCUGAGCCAAGAUCAUGCCACUGCACUCCAGCCUGGGCGACACAGCAAGACUCUGUCUCAAAAAAAAUAAAAAUAGGCAUUUCUCUUUUUUUGAGACAGAGUCUUGCUCUGUUGCUCAGGAUGGAGUGCAGUGGCAUGAUCUCAGCUCACUGCAACCUCCACCUCCCAGGUUCAAGCGAUUCUCCUGC